rnacentral:lncRNA from 1 species
CUUACCUUCCAGCAUAAAUUCCUUUAUUUCUCCAUCGCAUCCAGCAUGAUUCCUUUUUUCUCCAUCUCAUCCAGCAUAAUGUCCUUUAUUUCCUUACCUCAUCCAGCAUAAUGUCCUUUAUUUCCUUACCUCAUCCAGCAUAAUGUCCUUUAUUUCUCCAUCUCAUCCAGCAUAAGUCCUAUAUUUCCUCACCUCAUCCAGCAUAAUGUCCUUUAUUUCCUACCAUCAUCCAGCAAUAAUGUCCGUUAUUUCCUUACCUCAGCCAGCAUAAGGUCCUUUAUGUCCUUUACCGCAUCCAGCAUAAUGUCCUUUAUUUCGCCAUCUCAUCUCAUCCGCAUAAGGUCCUUUAUUUCCCUUACCUCAGCCAGCAUAAUGUACGUUAGUUCCUUACCUCUCCA